UGGGGAAUAUUGCACAAUGGAGGGAACUCUGAUGCAGCGACGCCGCGUGAACGAAGAAGGCUUUCGAGUCGUAAAGUUCUUUUAUAUGGGAAGAUAAUGACGGUACCAUAAGAAAAAGCCCCGGCUAACUACGUGCCAGCAGCCGCGGUAAUACGUAGGGGGCUAGCGUUGUCCGGAAUCACUGGGCGUAAAGGGUUCGCAGGCGGAAAUGCAAGUCAGGUGUAAAAGGCAGUAGCUUAACUACUGUAAGCAUUUGAAACUGCAUAUCUGGAGAAGAGUAGAGGUAAGUGGAAUUUUUAGUGUAGCGGUGAAAUGCGUAGAUAUUAAAAAGAAUACCGGUGGCGAAGGCGGCUUACUGGGCUCAUUCUGACGCUGAGGAACGAAAGCGUGGGUAGCAAACAGG
rnacentral:rRNA from 1 species